rnacentral:rRNA from 1 species
GACGAACGCUGGCGGCGUGCUUAACACAUGCAAGUCGAACGGAAAGGCCCUGCUUUUGUGGGGUGCUCGAGUGGCGAACGGGUGAGUAACACGUGAGUAACCUGCCCUUGACUUUGGGAUAACUUCAGGAAACUGGGGCUAAUACCGGAUAGGAGCUCCUGCUGCAUGGUGGGGGUUGGAAAGUUUCGGCGGUUGGGGAUGGACUCGCGGCUUAUCAGCUUGUUGGUGGGGUAGUGGCUUACCAAGGCUUUGACGGGUAGCCGGCCUGAGAGGGUGACCGGCCCCAUUGGGACUGGGAUACGGCCCAGACCCCUACGGGGGGCAGCAGGGGGGAAUAUUGCACAAGGGGCGGAAGCCUGAUGCAGAAACGCCGCGUGGGGGAUGACGGCCUUCGGGUUGUAACCCGCUUUCGCCUGUGACGAAGCGUGAGUGACGGUAAUGGGUAAAGAAGCACCGGCUAACUACGU